ACAGCAGCCGCCGCGGGAAUACAGAGGGUGCGAGCGUUAAUCGGAUUUACUGGGCGUAAAGCGUGCGUAGGCGGCUUUUUAAGUCGGAUGUGAAAUCCCUGAGCUUAACUUAGGAAUUGCAUUCGAUACUGGUUAGCUAGAGUGUGGGAGAGGAUGGUAGAAUUCCAGGUGUAGCGGUGAAAUGCGUAGAGAUCUGGAGGAAUACCGAUGGCGAAGGCAGCCAUCUGGCCUAACACUGACGCUGAGGUACGAAAGCAUGGGGAGCAAACAGGAUUAGAUACCCCAGUAGUCCCUGUCUCUUAUAC
rnacentral:rRNA from 1 species